AGAGUUUGAUCCUGGCUCAGAACGAACGCUGGCGGCAUGCCUAACACAUGCAAGUCGAACGAGAUCUUCGGGUCUAGUGGCGCACGGGUGCGUAACGCGUGGGAAUCUGCCCUUUGGUUCGGAAUAACAGUUGGAAACGACUGCUAAUACCGGAUGAUGACGAAAGUCCAAAGAUUUAUCGCCAGAGGAUGAGCCCGCGUAGGAUUAGCUAGUUGGUGUGGUAAAGGCGCACCAAGGCGACGAUCCUUAGCUGGUCUGAGAGGAUGAUCAGCCACACUGGGACUGAGACACGGCCCAGACUCCUACGGGAGGCAGCAGUGGGGAAUAUUGGACAAUGGGCGAAAGCCUGAUCCAGCAAUGCCGCGUGAGUGAUGAAGGCCUUAGGGUUGUAAAGCUCUUUUACCCGGGAUGAUAAUGACAGUACCGGGAGAAUAAGCUCCGGCUAACUCCGUGCCAGCAGCCGCGGUAAUACGGAGG
rnacentral:rRNA from 1 species